rnacentral:rRNA from 1 species
UGGGUAACCUGCCUCAAAGAGGGGAAUAGCCUCCCGAAAGGGAGAUUAAUACCGCAUAAUAUGUUUAAGUCGCAUGACUUUAACAUCAAAGGAUUUUCUUUUAAGAAAUUCCACUUUGAGAUGGACCCGCGGCGCAUUAGCUAGUUGGUGAGGUAACGGCUCACCAAGGCAACGAUGCGUAGCCGACCUGAGGAGGGUGAUCCGGCCACAUUGGAACUGGGACACGGUCCAGACUCAGUAGGGAG